CUGGAGGUAUCAGAAGUGCGAAUGCUGACAUAAGUAACGAUAAAGCGGGUGAAAAGCCCGCUCGCCGGAAGACCAAGGGUUCCUGUCCAACGUUAAUCGGGGCAGGGUGAGUCGACCCCUAAGGCGAGGCCGAAAGGCGUAGUCGAUGGGAAACGGGUUAAUAUUCCCGUACUUGGUGUUACUGCGAAGGGGGGACGGAGAAGGCUAUGUUGGCCGGGCGACGGUUGUCCCGGUUUAAGCGUGUAGGUGUGUGUUCCAGGUAAAUCCGGUUCACUUUAACACUGAGGCGUGAUGACGAGGCACUACGGUGCUGAAGCAACAAAUGCCCUGCUUCCAGGAAAAGCCUCUAAGCAUCAGGUAACAUCAAAUCGUACCCCAAACCGACACAGGUGGUCAGGUAGAGAAUACCAAGGCGCUUGAGAGAACUCGGGUGAAGGAACUAGGCAAAAUGGUGCCGUAACUUCGGGAGAAGGCACGCUGACACGUAGGUGAAGUGAUUUACUCAUGGAGCUGAAGUCAGUCGAAGAUACCAGCUGGCUGCAACUGUUUAUUAAAAACACAGCACUGUGCAAACACGAAAGUGGACGUAUACGGUGUGACGCCUGCCCGGUGCCGGAAGGUUAAUUGAUGGGGUCAGCGCAAGCGAAGCUCCUGAUCGAAGCCCCGGUAAACGGCGGCCGUAACUAUAACGGUCCUAAGGUAGCGAAAUUCCUUGUCGGGUAAGUUCCGACCUGCACGAAUGGCGUAAUGAUGGCCAGGCUGUCUCCACCCGAGACUCAGUGAAAUUGAACUCGCUGUGAAGAUGCAGUGUACCCGCGGCAAGACGGAAAGACCCCGUGAACCUUUACUAUAGCUUGACACUGAACAUUGAGCCUUGAUGUGUAGGAUAGGUGGGAGGCUUUGAAGUGUGGACGCCAGUCUGCAUGGAGCCGACCUUGAAAUACCACCCUUUAAUGUUUGAUGUUCUAACGUGGACCCGUGAUCCGGGUUGCGGACAGUGUCUGGUGGGUAGUUUGACUGGGGCGGUCUCCUCCUAAAGAGUAACGGAGGAGCACGAAGGUUGGCUAAUCCUGGUCGGACAUCAGGAGGUUAGUGCAAUGGCAUAAGCCAGCUUGACUGCGAGCGUGACGGCGCGAGCAGGUGCGAAAGCAGGUCAUAGUGAUCCGGUGGUUCUGAAUGGAAGGGCCAUCGCUCAACGGAUAAAAGGUACUCCGGGGAUAACAGGCUGAUACCGCCCAAGAGUUCAUAUCGACGGCGGUGUUUGGCACCUCGAUGUCGGCUCAUCACAUCCUGGGGCUGAAGUAGGUCCCAAGGGUAUGGCUGUUCGCCAUUUAAAGUGGUACGCGAGCUGGGUUUAGAACGUCGUGAGACAGUUCGGUCCCUAUCUGCCGUGGGCGCUG
rnacentral:rRNA from 1 species